UAAGAUGAAUAGAUUAAACUUAGCUCAAAAAUUCUCACUCUAAUGAUGUUAAUCAAAUUAAGAAUAGGGAGAGUGAGUUUGUCUAUUUGACAAAGGAAGCAAGCAUAGCUUCAAGUGGUGAAGCUUGGUGCUAGAAGAUUGCCCAUCUUGAGUCCUUUUGAAGAUAGAGAGAUCUAAAACACAAAACUUAAGAUAAAAUAUUAGUCCAAUAAUCGUAAUUAUUUGUUAUCAUCAAAAUCUAAUGAAAGAUUAAAGCCACUAGGCCAACACAAACCAUUUCAAAAUUGUCAAUUUUCAAUGGUUACUAUGGCGAGUUUGGAGUUUAACAUUGUAGAAGAAUCUAAGCGCUUAUUUGGUUCAUCCAUUUUGGAUAUGGAAUGGGAAUCGGUUUGAUCAAAUCAGAUUAAUUUUGUUUGGUUCGCAUGAAUCGGUUUGGGAUUCCUAUUCCGGACUGGAAUGGGAAUGACCCAUUAGCCUUCAACUUGAUUCCGGUCUUCUAGCCCGGAUUGAGAUUUCAUUCCGGAAGCCCACUAAGUUCUCGAAGCCCAUGUGACCAUCUCACCCUCCUUCUCUUCACCCCUUUCUCAUCAAAAAAAAAAAGAAAACCUAUCCUCUCUCAAAACCCUAUCCCUAACCCACAUCAAUAAGGGCGUGUUUGGUUCACAUCUUUGUUACCCUGGAAUCGGAAUCGGAAGGAACGAAUCCGUUUGUAGGUGUUUGGUACGCGGGAGUCCCAUUCCAAUUUUGAUUCCCGAAUAGAAUGGGAAUCCUCUAAUCACCUCUUUUUCCAAUCCAGCCUAGGAGGCCGGAUUGAAAGUUGAAUCCGGACGGAAUGAAUAUUUAUUCGGAUUAAAUUUAUUUUUUCAACUUUUUUAAUUAAAAUAUGAGUUUAAAUUUAGAAAUUAAAUUUUAAAUUUUAAAUUUUAAAUUUUAAAUUUUAAUUUGAACUUGAAUAAAAAAUUUAAAUUUAAUCAAGUAUUUCGAAUCUACCUUAUGAAUUUGAAUUUAAAUUAAAUUUUAAUUUAUAUAAAGUUUUAUUCAAAUUUUAUUUAAAACUUAAAUUAAAUUUAUGGAUUCAAAUUAAAAUUUAAAUUAUAAUUUUAAAUUUGAAUUUGAACAAAUCGAAAUUUAGUUUUAUAUUUUAAAUUAUCCACUCAACUUCAAAGUUUAAUUUUUUAAUAUAAAUAGAUUUAAAAUUUUGACAUUAUUUCAAAAUUUUGAUAUAAAUUUUUAAUAUUUAAUUUUUAAUUUGAUUUAAAUUAAUAUAUUAUAAAGAUAAAGUUAAUAUAUAAUCUGAUUAUGUUUUUUAUAUUUAUCUGAACCAAACACCGGGAAUGAUUUAUUCCGAUUCCGAUUCAGGUGAUGAACCAAACAAAAUUAGGUAAUGAGUCAUUCCAAUUCCGAUUCAAGCUUAUUUCGAUUCCGAUUCUGAUUCCGAUUUCGACUUCGAACCAAACACGCCCUAAAAGUUUUUAAAAAUAAAUUUGAUAUUUUUUUUGGAAAACUUAUUAGAGAAUAGUAUUAUAUUUUUCAUAAAUUUUAAAUAAUAUAAAUUUAUAUUUUAGAGUAAAAUUAGUAUUAUAGUAUUCUAUAAUUUUUUUAGUUUAUACGAACUAAACAAUGAAAUAUGAAUAACUCAUUCUAAUUCUCAAUCCACAAAUAAACCAAACGUCUUGAGGGAGUGGGCCAUUCCAAUUAUCAUUCCAAUUCAUUCCCAUUCCAUUAUCCAUUCCAAUUCCACCCUUGAAACAAACAAGCCCUAAAUUUCUUCAAAUUUUGAUAGAAAAUACUUUAAACUAUCUAGAUUAAGGUUAACAUUCUUGAUCUUGAAUUUAAAAGUCCUAUGCUCAAAUUUUAAAUAUUAUUCAAUUUCCACCGUCCAUUUUAACAUAAUUUAUUUAUUAAGUAAACGAUGUCGAAAAAAACUAAAAUCUUAUUCCUAAGAAUUUCAUAUACUCUAGAUCAUAUUUAACGGUGUGGAUCGUUAAUUUGAACACCCUAAAAUCAAAAAUAAGACUAUAGUACUGGAACUCCGGUACUAUAGAUAGUAUAGUAGCCUAAAGUUUAUAGAUAGUAUAGUAGUUUCCAAAUACUUUCAAUAGUCAAGUUUAACGGAGCCGAUCGUCGAUUUGGAAGCGGCAUCGUUGAAACAACUUGGUAGCACGGAGGCGUCUGUGCUACCGAUAGUAUGGCAGCUUAGCGCUCUCUCUCUCUCUCUCUCUCUCUAUAUAUAUAUAUAUAGUUGAGUUGGAAUACUAUUUAGAGUAUUUGAACUUUUUUACUAUUAAGUUUAUAACACUUGGAUUGACAAUUGUAGGAUUAGGAUGAUACUGAUCUCCUAAAGUUUAGCGAUGGUCCCCUAGUGUUUAGCAGGUGGCUUGUAAAAUAAUUUGAUCUAAAGAGUGAAAUUAAUUAAAGCUCUGAUUGGAUAUAUAGUAAAAAAUUCUAUUAUAGAGUUUAUAUUUUAUGGUUUUAGUCUGAACAAAAUCGAGAAAUUUGUAAUUAUAAAAAAUUUCACAACUUCAUUAUUAAACCAUUUGAAUACACGUCAUACAAUUCCACAUGAUAUCUAACAAUUAUAAGUUUAAAUUUAAAAUUUUCAAAUUUUGAAUUUUGAAUUUUGAAUUUUGAAUUUUGAAUUUUGAAUUUUGAAUUUUAAAAUUUAAAAUCUG
rnacentral:lncRNA from 1 species